AUUGAACGCUGGCGGCAGGCCUAACACAUGCAAGUCGAGCGAGCGGCGGACGGGUGAGUAAUGUCUGGGAAACUGCCUGAUGGAGGGGGAUAAAUACUGGACACGGUAGCUAAUACCGCAUACCAUCAGAUGCACCCAGAUGGGAUUAGCUAGUAGGUGGGGUAAAGGUGCACCGAGGCGACGAUCUCUAGCUGGGCUGAGAGGAUGAUCAUGCACACGGUGACGUGGACACGGCCCAGACUACUACGGGAGUCAGCAGUGGGGAAUAUUGCACAAUGGGCGCAAGCCUGAUGCAGCCAUGCCGCGUGUAGGAAGAAGGCCUUAGGGUUGUAAAGUACUUUCAGCGGGGAGGCGUUACCCACAGAAGAAGCACCGGCUAACUCCGUGCCAGCAGCCGCGGUAAUAC
rnacentral:rRNA from 1 species